rnacentral:misc_RNA from 1 species
AAGUCGUAACAAGGUUUCCGUAGGUGAACCUGCGGAAGGAUCAUUAACAAACGUAUCCACGUUUAUCGAACAACCGCGAACUGUUUUCAUUCUCCCUCUUUCGAAUACAUGAAUAGGCUAUUACUAGCUAGGUGAGGCACAGGGUGGGAUUCUUCGGGAUCUGCCCUCAACUAGCAACGGAGAUCUCGGUCUCGACUGUUGGAGUAUUCAAGGAGGCUUUUUUCAUAUUCCUUCUUUCACAUUCCUUAUUACAGGGGGCGCCACUCUGGCCCCUGUAGUAAGGAGAAAGGAGGAAUGCAUUUAUCACUAUAAUCACCUCUAUUUUGCUAGUUGACUUUGUCUAUGUUGUUCCGUUUGCGCGAGCGACGGUUCACACGUUUAUUUAUUUGAACGUUAAACAAAACAACUCUUAGCAAUGGAUAUCUCGGUUCUC